AAUAGCUUUUAUCAUGAGUUACUGUUUUCAUCCAGUCUCUACUGUCAAGCUAUAUUGGGUGAUUUCUUACAUCUGGAUCUUAGGGGAAACAGGAAGUUGAUCUCAAAUGACCAUAGGGAUUGCCUGCAUGGAUGUUUAAAAGAUGUUUGGAAGAACAUGAGAGAUAUGUAGAGAUAUGUGACUGCAAGACCAAACCCAUGUCUCCACAGGAGCAAAAGAGUAAUCCUUCAGACAUGCUGCUUCAGAGGAUCAUUUGUCAUGUUUGCUAUCUAGAAAAGAGGACAUGCUAACCUAUAUC
rnacentral:lncRNA from 1 species